rnacentral:lncRNA from 1 species
CUUAGGGCCUGACAGCUCAGGUGACCCUUAACUCACUGCUUAAUUGGCACUGACUUGGCCAACAUCACCUCAGUGUUUUCUCAUCUGAAGCAGAGAAGAUAUUUGCUAAGCCCUAUUCAGGGCUGUUGAGGAAUCAAAUGAGAAGGUUAUCCGAAAGCACUUUGUGAUUAGACUGCAUAUAUAAAAACAUGCUGACUUCACUGUGACAGUUGCAUUUUCCGUGAACUGGCUGUGCACCUCCUGUUAUAGGGAGUUCCCAGGAGCCGGGUCAUGCCCGAGCCUUCCUGUGGAACUCCCCGAAGAACUUGGUCCCUCAUUUGGGAACAGCAACAAUCAAGAAGACCUGCCAAUGUCAGAACUGGAAGAGUACCAGAUUCCCAGAUUUAGUUCCAACAGUCAAGAGUCAAGGACUAUUCUAAGCUCUGAAGAUGCUGUAUUGGAAGCCUUUCCCCAUCCACCAGCAGAAUAUGAGGAAAUAGUCUGCAAAAUGUAACUGCUUCUCCAGCUGCUAAUUGCACAAAAGCAGAUGGGGUCUUUGCGGAUGAUUAAGUUCAGAUGAGGUCAUGGGGGUAGGCCCUAAUCCAAUACGAUUGUGUCCUUAUGAAAAGGGAAAAUUGGACACAGAGACAGACAUGAAGUUGGAGAGAGCACCAUGUAAAGAUGAAGGCAGGAAUCGGGACAAUUUUCAAGCCAAGAAACACCCAAGAUUGCCAGGAAACCAGCAGAAGCUAGAAGGAAGACAUGGAACAGAAUCUCCUUCACAGUCUUCAGAAGGAGCCACCCCUGCCAACAUCUGGAUGAUCUUGGACUUCAAGCUUCCAGAGCUGUUCAAGCCUCCGAACAAUACAUUUCUGUUGAUUAAGCCAUGUAGUUUGUGGCACUUUAUUAUAGUAGCCCUAAGAAAUGAAUACAGGGCCAGGUAUGGUGGCUCACACCUGUAAUCUCUGCACUUUGGGAGGCUGAGGCAGGAGGAUCACUUGAGACCAGCCUGGGCAACAUAAUGAGACCCUGUCCCUACUAAAAAAUUUUAAAACAAAAAUUAGCCAGAUGUGGUGGCACAUGUAGUCCCAGCUACUCAGGAGGCUGAGAUGGGAGGAUCACUUGAGCCAGAGAGGUCAAGGCUGCAGUGAGCCGUGAUCGCACAACUACACGCCAGCCUCCAUGACAGAGAGAGACUCUGUUUAAAAAAAUAAUAAUAAAAGAAACAAAUAUAAAGAGCUUUGGUCAUACUGUGCUACUCUCAUUGCUUAGGCUACAAGUGGGUAUAGUGUCCCAUGGCAACUUCAGGAUGCAAGGCCUAUAAUGCUCUAGGGCCAGGGCCCAGAACCUUUUGAAGAGUUGCCAAGAGCAAGUCAGGGCCUAAGGAACUGCCUAGGGCUAGAGUUCUGGGGCCAGCCUGUUCUUCACACCAGCCGGCUCUGACUUCUCACAGGGCCCAGUGACUUUCUUCAUGCCCUCCCCUUGCUCCUCAUGGAUGUAGGAGGGCCUGUCCUUGGGCCUCUCCAGCACCUCCCAGCCCAGCCCAGGCCACGGCCCCACUCCACCUCUGUUUUGAGGACUAACUUUCAUUUUUCAUUGCAUGUUCUUCUGACCUCUAAUUUUUGGCCCAAUCCGGAUUUUGCCUUUGGCUCUCUAGAUUAGACACAGAGCUCAUGGAGGCUGUGCUGCAAUUUGAACCAGGGAUAGGACAAGAAUGUCAGAGGCUGUUUAGGGAUCGUGGAGUGGGGGAGGGUUAUAGAGAAAGAAUGCAUUUGGCUCAGAUCAUAUUAAAAAAUCAAAACAACUCAUACUUUGAGUUUCCCAAGUGCUUUGGUGUAUAUUGCCCUUGAGCUAUACAAUGCAGCCCCUGGGGGACAGUUAAGAUGGGUGUCCUUAUUAUUUUAUUUACAUCUCCAUGUUAAAAAUGAAGGAACUGAGGCUCACCCAGGUUACACAACUUGACUGAAAUCACACAGUCCAUGCGGGAGCCAGCAUUUGGUUUUAAGUACAAGUUCUUUCUGCUCUGCCACGCUCUCCCCGCAUAGAUCAGCGCUCAGAAGCUAAAGGAGGAUGCAGAGCCUGGACUGAGAGGACACAGGCAGACGCAGACCAGACAUACUGACUUGGCUCUCCCUCCUCAGCAAGUAGCAACUGGCCAAAUACCACACACGAAUAACAAACACCUUGCAUUUAUAUAACACCUCACAAUUGACAGUGCUUUUACAAGCAUUGUCUCAUUCCAUCCUCACAAAUAAACCCAUGAGGUAAGCAGGAUGAACUCGGUUAUUCUUUUUUUUUUUUUUUUUUUUUUGAGACAGGGUCUCACUCUGUCGCCCAGGCUGCUGUGGCGCAAUCACAGCUCACUGCAGCCUCGACCUCCCGGGCUCAGGUAAUCCUCCCACCUCAGACUCCCUGAAUAGCUGGGAGUAUAGAUGUGCACCACCACACCUGGCUAAUUUUUGUAUAUUUUGUGGAGAUGGGUUUUUGCCAUGUUGCUGAGACUGGUCUUGAACUCCUGGGCUGAAACAAUCCACUCACUUCCAUCUCCCAAAGUGCUGGGAUGACAAGUGUGAGCCACCGCACCCGGCAAACCUGGUUAUUCUUAUUUUAAGAUGAAGCAACUAAGGAAAGGCAGGUUAAACUCCUGGCCCAUAGUCACAAAGUCAGGAGAAGUGGGACUCAAACCCAGUGUUUCUCUUUAAGUCCAUCUUCUUUCUUACUUCUCAGGAAGAGAGUACAAUCCAGGGACCGCAAAUACUUGGCACGCAUACAGUCUUAUCUUUUCCCACACCCAAGACAGACAUUACUAAUUGAUCACAGCAUUUUAGCCCAGAUUUGGCCUCAGGAUCCUCAGUAUAGUUCUCUGGGCAGCCCUUGUCAGCCAGAACAGACAAGCAAGAUGAAGACCUUUUCCAGCCUGCUCUAAGCAGUACCUAUAACUGGCUCAAGUCACAGAUACCAAGUGUACAAAUCCAUCUGAUUAGAAAUCUGGCUAAAAAUAAGAAGGACAAAACAGACGCUGGGGUCUACUUGAUGGGGGAGGGUGAAAGGAGGGAGAGCAACAGAAAAGAUAACUAUUGGGUACUAGGCUUAAAAUCUGGGUGAUGAAAUAAUCUGUACAACAGACCCGCAUGACAUGUGUUUACCUAUGUAACAUGCCUUCACAUGUACCCCCAAACCUAAAAUAAAAUUUAAAAUAAUAGUAAUAAAAAUAAUUUUCAUAAUGAGAUGAAGAAUCAGCUAAAUCAAAUAAUAUUUUUAAAACUCAUUUUAUUCAUUAAUUAUACAAUACAUGUUAAACACACAUAUAGUUAUAAAGUAUAUAACAUAAGGAAAUAUGGUUCAAGAUCUAAGAAGAGCCUAAAUUUGUUUUCUCCUACCUGUUAAUUUACAACCAGCACAAAAAUAAUAAUAGCUAACAUUGGCUGGGUGCAGUGGCUCAGGCCUGUAAUCCCAGCACUUUGGGAGGCCAAGGCGGGUGGAUCACUUGAGGUUAGGAGUUCAAGACCAGCCUGACCAACAUGGCGAAGCCCUGUCUUUACUAAAAAUACAAAAAUCAGCCAUGCAUGGUGGCAGGCACUUGUAGUCCCAGCUAUUCAGGAGGCCGAGGCAGGAAAAUCGCUUGAAUCUGGGAGGUGGAGGUUGCAGUGAACUGAGACUGCACCACUGCACUGCAGACUGGGCAACAGAGCAAGACUGCAUCUCAAAAAAAUAAAAUAAAUAAAUAGUAAUAAUAAAAAUAGCUAACAUAUUUUUGAGUACUUACUCUGUGUCAGGUGCUAUAUUAAGUACGUCUUCUGCAUUUCCCUAAAAAGUAGAUCUGAUUCUUCACAUUUUAGAGAUACGGGAAUUGAGGCUUUGAGGACUUAGGAAACUUGCCAGAUGCAACCUUAUACUGCUGAAUUCCACGAAUCUUGCUGCCUCAUUACACUGUCUCCCAGGCUGCAGACCAGCACUUUCUUGAUUCUUUGUAAAGGGAAACAUGUCUUACUUUUCCAAAUCCUUGAAAUCAACUGCUUGGAUAGGGAAGAAAACAAUAAGGGAUGUAGAUACCAACAGUAAAAUUGUCGAGCAAAGCAGGCUCCACGAGGCGUGGCCAAUGGGCAGCUGUUGGCAGUGGCGGAUGGGGGUUGUACAAUAUGAACAGGGCUUGGACAUGUGAACCAGAGUGUCCACAUGUGUAGGCAAAAAGGCCUUAGCUGUGCAGGACAGCAAGACAAUGGUGGAAAGAGACUGGGCUGGAGACUAGCUCUCCCCACAAUGCUGCACUCUGACAUGGACUUCAGAGGGGUCCACGAAGCUAAAUUUGACCCUGGAUUUGUACAUUUGGUCUCUAUGGCCUGAGCCAGUUAUAGGCACUGCUGAGAGCAGGCUGGAAAAGGUCUUCAUCUUGCUUUUCUCUUCUGGCUGACAAGGGCUGCCCGGAGAACUAUAUCGAAGAGGAUCCUGAGGCCAAAUCUGGACAAAAUGCUGUGAUUAAUUAGUAAUGUCUGUCCUCGGUGCAGGGGUGGAGGGUAUGAUAGGACAGUAUGUGUGCUAAGUGUUUGCCUUCCCUGGAAGUCCACAUUGUUAUGAAGGUAUAUUUGUCAAAGUAAAAGGGUGUGAUAUACCUUAUUGAGCAGUUUGUAGCUUGGUUUGUAACUUUCAGCUGUCGAGAUAUAUGGUAAGUUGGCCUCCAUUUGUACUUCUGUGCCUUUCCCUGCAUUUGUUAGAAGUGGGUCUAGUGAAAACCAGGCUUUCCUGCUUCUGCUGUUUUUGCUGCUCCUGCAAGCAGGCCACUCAUGGAGGUGUCUGUUGUCCUGUGGUGGUGGGAGAAGUUCUAGCCUCUGACUACUAGUUUUCUGAGUGUGAGAGUGUGUGUCAUACAUUCAUUUUAGUAAUGCCAAUUGCAGCAGGUGCAGCAAGGGUCGGAGUGGCAGCAGCCUCCAGACCAUAGGAGCCUCCUGAUCUUACCAAUGGCAGGGGCCUCCAGGGCCAGCCCCCUAGUUUGGAAGGCAGCCUCCCUAAUGCAGAAGAAACCAUGGCUUCUUUGGGGGCCUGAUUCUUUGGUGUCACUUAGGGAGUUGUUCCUGAAAGCUUAAGUUCGAAUCUGCUUCUUCAGCCUUCUCGAUGAUUCUAUAAGGCAUAUAAAUACCUGAAAUAAAUCCUUUCUAUAUAAAACUACUAGAGUGGAUUCUGUUCUAGGCAACUGACCAGCACAGGGCACUUAGCCUCCCCUCCAGGAACAAGGGAGACUCUGGUGACCUAGGAAAAUCACUUUUGAAUGCAUUCUAGGGCCUUGUCACUCCAUUGAACUUACUGUCUUUGGUAAGGUUUUCUCCGUUUUUAUUCUGUACCUGGGUUCAACCUCUCUACUACGGACUGAAUUCCUAAAAUUCAUAUGCUAAGCUCUAUCCUCCAAUGUGAUAGUGUUUAGAGAGAGCCUUUGGGAGGGGUUACAUGAGACCAUAAGUGUAGGGCCCUUAUAAUGGGAUUAGAGCCCUCAUAAAAAGAGACACCAGACAGCUUGCUUUCUCACUCUCCAACCAUGUAAGGGCAUAGCAAGAAGGCAGCCAUCUACAAGCCAGGAAAA